CUACGGGUUGCAGCAGCUAAGAAUCUUCCGCAAUGGGCGCAAGCCUGACGGAGCGACGCCGCGUGAACGAAGAAGGCCGUGAGGUUGUAAAGUUCUUUUCUUGGGGAGGAAUAAGCCCUGCAGGGAAUGGCAGGGUGAUGACGUGAACCGAGGAAUAAGCCCCGGCUAAUUACGUGCCAGCAGCCGCGGUAACACGUAAGGGGCGAGCGUUGUUCGGAAUUAUUGGGCGUAAAGGGCGCGUAGGCGGGAAUGCAAGCCUGAUGUGAAAUACCCCGGCUCAACUGGGGGGGCGCGUUGGGGACUGUAUUUCUUGAGUAUAAGAGGGGAUGUUGGAAUUCCAGGUGUAGGGGUGAAAUCUGUAGAUAUCUGGAAGAACACCGGUGGCGAAGGCGAACAUCUGGCUAUAUACUGACGCUGAGGCGCGAAAGCGUGGGGAGCGAACAGGAUUAGAUACCCUAGUAGUC
rnacentral:rRNA from 1 species